GGAUGAACGCUGGCGGCGUGCCUAACACAUGCAAGUCGAACGGACGAGAAGAGCUUGCUCUUCGAGUUAGUGGCGGACGGGUGAGUAACGCGUGAGCAACCUGCCUUUCAGAGGGGGAUAACAUCGGGAAACUUGUGCUAAUACCGCAUAACGUAUACGGAUUGCAUGGUCUGUAUACCAAAGAGAGAUUGAUGCAGGAUAGGCUCGCGUCUGAUUAGAUAGUUGGCAGGGUAACGGCCUACCAAGUCUACGAUCAGUAGCCGAACUGAGAGGUUGAACGGCCACAUUGGAACUGAGAAACGGUCCAGACUCCUACGGGAGGCAGCAGUGGGGAAUAUUGGGCAAUGGGGGAAACCCUGACCCAGCAACGCCGCGUGAAGGAAGAAGGUCUUCGGAUCGUAAACUUCUGUUCUUGGUGAAGAGAAGAAGACGGUAGCCAAGGAGGAAGCCCCGGCUAACUACGUG
rnacentral:rRNA from 1 species